rnacentral:misc_RNA from 1 species
GUGAAUCAUCAAAUCUUUGAACGCAAAUUGCACUCGCCUCGGAGAGUAUGCCUGUUGGAGGGUCAGCCUAUAAAAAAGCUUCAUCGUUGCUUUUUCGCUGUGGCGUUCGUCUGCCAUUGGGUCAUCUUAAAUCUUUGGGUUUUAAGCGACUUAAAAUUUUCCUUUUUGUUCCAUGAACGUUUCUAAGAUUUAUGUCUUUACACGUCUAAGGUAUCGAUUUUUAUUAGACGUGACCAUCAUAUCGGAUCGCGUCGAUAAUUUCUCAUUAACAGAC